GACAGGGGCACCUGAUCUGCAUGCCGCGUGAGUGAAGAAGGCUUCGGGUUGUAAAGCUCUUUUGUCAGGGAAGAAACACCGGCUCUAACACAGUCCGGGAAUGACGGUACCUGAAGAAUAAGCACCGGCUAACUACGUGCCAGCAGCCGCGGUAAUACGUAGGGUGCGAGCGUUAAUCGGAAUUACUGGGCGUAAAGCGUGCGCAGGCGGUUAUACAAGACAGGCGUGAAAUCCCCGGGCUUAACCUGGGAAUGGCGCCUGUGACUGUAUAGCUAGAGUGUGUCAGAGGGGGGUAGAAUUCCACGUGUAGCAGUGAAAUGCGUAGAUAUGUGGAGGAAUACCAAUGGCGAAGGCAGCCCCCUGGGAUAACACUGACGCUCAUGCACGAAAGCGUGGGGAGCAAACAGGAUUAGAUACCCUGGUAGUCCACGCCCCAAACGAUGCUGACUAGUUGUUCGGGAUUUACAUCCUGAGUAACGUAGCUAACGCGUGGAGUCAGCCGCCUGGGGAGUACGGUCGCAAGAUUAAAACUCAAAGGAAUUGACGGGGACCCGCACAAGCGGUGGAUGAUGUGGAUUAAUUCGAUGCAACGCGAAAAACCUUAGCUACCCUUGACAUGUCAC
rnacentral:rRNA from 1 species